rnacentral:rRNA from 1 species
GACGAACGCUGGCGGCGUGCUUAACACAUGCAAGUCGAACGAUGAAGCUGGAGCUUGCUCCGGUGGAUUAGUGGCGAACGGGUGAGUAACACGUGAGAAAUCUGCCCUUGACUCUGGAAUAACUGCGGGAAACUGUAGCUAAUAUCGGAAAUUUUCCUUGGUGGGCAUCCACUGGGGAAGAAAGAAUUUCGGUCAAGGAUGAUCUCGCGGCCUAUCAGCUAGUUGGUGAGGUAAUGGCUCACCAAGGCGACGACGGGUAGCGGGCCUGAGAGGGUGACCGGCCACACUGGGACUGAGACACGGCCCAGACUCCUACGGGAGGCAGCAGUGGGGAAUAUUGCACAAUGGGCGCAAGCCUGAUGCAGCAACGCCGCGUGAGGGAUGAAGGCCUUCGGGUUGUAAACCUCUUUUAGCAGGGAAGAAGCGAAAGUGACGGUACCUGCAGAAAAAGCACCGGCUAACUACGUGCCAGCCGCCGCAGUAA